rnacentral:rRNA from 1 species
GACAGAGGUGCCGAGCGUUAGGCGGAAUCACUGGGCUUAAAGCGUGUGUAGGCGGACUUCUAAGUACCUUGUGAAAUCCCACGGCUUAACCGUGGAACUGCUUGGUAUACUGGUUGUCUUGGGCCAUCUAGGGGCUACUGGAACAAACGGUGGAGCGGUGAAAUGCGUAGAUAUCGUUUGGAACGCCAAUGGUGAAAACAAGUAGCUGGGGAUGUGCCGACGCUGAGACACGAAAGCGUGGGGAGCGAACAGG